AUGAAACUACCUUUUAACAUGAUUAUUUCAACAGUUCUGAAACCACACUUAGGUAUAACAAGACAGUUGUGCCAGCAUCCUACAUUUUUAGGAUGUAUUCAAUACACAUAUUUCUAUGGGAUACUUGGUUUUAUAUUAAGUGCUCAUCACCUCAGAACACACCUUGGAGAAACGCCUUAUGCAGAUACUAAGGCUAACGAAUUGGAAAAUUUUAUGCUUGUACAUGACUUGAAAAUCAUUGCAACGUCUAUGGGUUUAGUUCAAUACGCUUGUCUGCUUGUAGGUUGCUUUACGGUGAGUUAAACGCUCGAUAGUCCCGACGGUGUUCGUAUGAAACUCCGGGCUCUUCUCGUGGCGUUGCUAGGAGUGUCAAUGUCUGCGUGUGCGUUCGCUUCCCAACCAGUGGAGUUGGAGUUAGAAGAUGACGAUGUAGCGCAGAAACUGAGCAAUGUCAGCUUUGCUCGACGAAUUACAAAACCCACGAUUCGACUGGUGAUGGGGUACGGAAAGCUAAGUGCCUUUGUGACUGCAGCCAGCUCGUUGCUACUUCUUAUAGCUGUAAUGUCCAAGCAAUCAUGGUGGCGGCGCGGCGCACGUUGGCUCGCGGCGCCGGCGCUUCUUGUCGCAGCAUUGGAAGCAGCAUCAGACGCAGGCGACGCCAUGCUCGCCGCUGCACUUAGGGGAACAGCUGAGCCAGCGAAAGUCGCAAUUCAGACCACUGCCGCAGCCGUCUUGGUCACUGUGGAGAUACUUGUCUGGUAUUUUAUAGCUAAAUUCUUCGAGUACAACCCACCACCAAUGGUGCCCGAAAACAGAAUCGAAAAAGAAAACUGUAUGAAAACUUUAAAUCAUUAAUGUCCAACCAAAAUAUACAUAAUUAUUUAGAUAUUAUUUAUACAAUAUACACAUCUAAACCCUCUUGACGAUUA